GAGUUUGAUCGUGGCUCAGAAUCAACGCUGGCGGCGUGCCUAAUACAUGCAAGUCGUACGCGAAGACCCCGCAAGGGGUGUAUAGCGUGGCAAACGGGUGAGUAACGCGUAGGCGACCUGCCUUCGAGUGGGGGAUAACCUUCCGAAAGGAGGGCUAAUACCGCAUGACAUACCGUGUUUGGAUACACGGACAUCAAAGCCGGGGAUCGCAAGACCUGGCGCUUGAAGAGGGGCCUACGUCCGAUUAGCUAGUUGGUGGGGUAAUGGCUCACCAAGGCGACGAUCGGUAUCCGGCCUGAGAGGGCGGACGGACACACUGGAACUGAGACACGGUCCAGACUCCUACGGGAGGCAGCAGUAGGGAAUUGUUCGCAAUGGGCGCAAGCCUGACGACGCAACGCCGCGUGGAGGAUGAAGGGCUUCGGCUCGUAAACUCCUUUCGACCGAGAUGAAUAUCCUUUGGCCUAAUACGCCGAAGGACUGACAGUAUCGAGGGAAGAAGCCCCGGCUAACUCCGUGCCAGCCGCCGCGGU
rnacentral:rRNA from 1 species